UCCUAUUAAUUUUUUUGACUUACCCUUUUAACCAGUACUUGCGCUGAUGGAGGGGGAAAUAUGAACCCGCCACAAAACGUCCUGCAAUUUUCCUUCCCGCACUCACUCGUCUUUCUCUCUACGGAGGAUUUUCAGAAAAUCAACUUCCACGCCUAGUUCUUCAAUCAGUUCCACCAUUCAUUCUUAAUAUCCUCUGUGGUGGACCUGUUUUAUUUUUCCUUCCAAUGACAAGAGCUCAACUCAAAGAAGAGGCAGAUGCCAGUCUUGAGAUAAUUUCCAUCGGAUCAUUGCACAGUGGACACAUUGGGACAAGAAGUACUGGAGCAGCUCUAGGGUUCGUAUUCGAUUUAUUUUGCCCUGCAUAUUCUGAUUUAUAUGUCUGCUAUAAUUGAUUUCAUUUAUCGCGGUGGUGAGGUUGCUAUUUCCGAUUAUGUUUUUCUAUGUUUAUUUGAUAGCUUGUUUAUCUCCUCAAGUGGAAAGCAUGUGAUGUUUGUAACAUAGUUUGUUCCCUUUGGAAUUCUGUUCUGUAUUUUCCGACUUGGUUGCUUUGAAAAGAUUUCUUUUCUGAUAAUUUGUUGUUUUGAAGCGACUGCAAGCUUAUCUAGGUAGGUUUUUCGAUCUAGAAUUGGUAAAAAUUAGUUGAUCCCAAUUUGCAAGUAAAAUCAGACUGUCUACUUCAUGAAGCUUAUCUGAUAAAUUAAUUUUGAGUUGUGCGAAUUUGUUGUAAAUUGAAUUUGGUAUUAAUGCACAAUAAAUUCCAUUUAGUGUCACCGCAAUCUUCAGGAGAAUCAAAUUCUAGGGAAACUUUGGACCAAUUGAUGAAUUUGUCAAUUCGAACUGCUUGCUGAACUAAUGACCAUUUUUGUUAUAUUUAGAGUGGUUGUUGUAGUUGCAAAUUUAAUAUACCUGAAGAGGUGUUUUAGAUCAAGAACAGUAAAUGUCAAAGAGAGCUGGGAAUAUAGAUUUUGGAGUUUCAUGUGGUAGUUUAAAUGUGUUUCAUGAAUUAUUUACUGAUGGAUAAUUAUCGUGUGACUUAUUGGUUAUCUAGGUGUGUCUAUUUCAACUCUGCAUUGUAAUAGAGAUAAAUCGGAUAUUGAUGAUUCCCAUUAUUUUUCUUUAUAAGAGGAAUUCCCAUUAGAGCCUCUAGAAGUUAAGAGAAGAUGCACUUACAUGAUUAUAGAUAAGAAAUCUCAACUGAGGACCUACUGUAAUCAUUGAAUUAUUGUGUAAGAUCGAUUUCCCUAUCCAGAUGAGCAAUCUGGCUGGUCAGGUCCCAAGGGGCUUUUAUUUAUGAUUUUGUCCAUGGAUGGACGUUCAUUUUCAGAGGAGAGGCUGCCUCCUCACUAACAUUUGGCACGGGAAGCGUCUUCGUGCAAGGUUGAUGGAGGGGAGAGGCGAAAAGAAAAAAUAAUGGCUCAGCAACUUCUUUGGCAUCAGUAUCUGCAACGUCUACAGGAAAGGAUAAAAAAUUCAUAAAUUGCCCGCUAACUUUGCAUCUCCAUGGUGUUUUUAACUACUUUGUUCAUGCUACCAGAAGAAAAUUUGCUCAUUUAACACGAACUCAAGCUCCAAAAGAAACGAUUUUGAUUCAUUAAGACAAUACAUUGUGAAGUCAAUGAUGAUUUUUUUGCUUCCACAAGCAAUUCCUCUGCUUAAGGAGAACUCUAACCGGAAAAAGACAGCCACUUCUAAUUUGAUGGAAAUACAAAAGACGUAUUGAAGGAAGAAGAUAGAGCAAAGCAGGAAUGCAUGCACAUACUGCAUGGGAAGUAUGAAUCCGCUGUCCCAAGUUUUGUGCUUCCCAAACAUGGUCCUGACAAUCUGGAGGGCGAGCAACAUUAUGACCAUGCAUACAUUAAUGGCAACUUCUCUUCUGUUGCAGACAAUGGUCAAGCCACUGGAAGCAAAAAGUCCCGUGACAGUGAAAUUGGUGGAAUGUGCAUGGAACAAGUCAGGAGGGUCAUUUGUACGUUUCAGAAUGUCCUCUCGGCUGUACCUCUUCUGGUAGAGUACUUUCUGAUGAAACUAUGCGUAAUAAUAAAAGGAUGGAUAAAUGCCCAUUAAAUCUUCAAAUAAAUUCCUUGAAAGUGGACAAGUAAACUCCUACGGAUUAUAAUAGAAAGCAAUGCGAGAGCAACCUUGUUCGAGUGGAUCCUUUUCUCAACUCCCCCAUGAAUGCAAAUGAUUCAAGUGUAAGAAGGCCCUCCGCAUAUCCAGAGGCAUUAAGGAAGGAAGUCAUUGUAAGAAAAGAGGCUGCGGGAAUGGCACUGUGCCAUCUUCUCAAGUUCCAUGCAUUGUGUACAGUAGGAUAAAAGCUCAAAAUGUGUCUCAUUUGGCUAAGGAAUACAAUCGCAUAUCCAAUGAAGCUUACGAUACUAGUUGCCUUGGAAAACAUUAUGGCGCGGAAACGUCUUCCACUGAAUCCCCACAUUCUUCUUAUAUCAAUCAGAUAACGUAUGUCAUUGCAGUCCUUCAUUAGACCUAGAUGUAGCAUCACUGAGAGCCAACAAGAAGCAUAAUUCAGGACUUCUAGACACACCUGUUUUGAAGGAAGAUUUGGAAGUUGGAAGCGAACGGAAAACUUUACCAGCAACUGUAAUGCAAGGGACUAGGUUAAAGAGCUGUUGUGUGCAAUGAGUACAAGCUCAAAGAACACCGAGGAACAUUCCUUACUUCAGCUAAAGGACUCUGCCAUAUGGCUGUUUGCCUCAACCAUAUCAGAUUCUCGAGAUUCACAUGACUAUUUACCAAUGGAUUGUCAGAUAAAUCAUGCAGAAUUGUGGAAUCAUUUGGUGCGUAGCUGGAUUUAAGAGACUGCCACUGGGGCAUCAGCUGGUCGAGGUAUCAUUCGGACUCGGGACGGCCUGGUUUACAUGUGGGCAUUGUCUACAGGAAAUAAAUUGGGCACUUUUCUUUGUUUUACAGGUGGGAGUGUUUUUUGUAUUGCAACUGAUAAUAAAGAGACAGGUGUGGUUGCUGUCGCGGCUGAUAGCAGGCAGCUGGUAUAUCUACUUUCAUCAGAUGGGAAAAGAUAGCAAUAAUGGCCAACCAACGAAGAAAGUUACUUGUAAGUUGCAUAAUAUCAGCAAAUGUUUUAGUUUUGAGUUGGUUUCCAUCGUGAUCUUGAUAUGGCAACGUAGGAGUCUUUGUGACAUGGCUGCAUCAGAGCCGACGAUAAAUGUAAAAAUAAUCAUUUACGAAAAUAAAUGUUU